GACGAACGCUGGCGGCGUGCUUAACACAUGCAAGUCGAACGGUAAGGCCCUUCGGGGUACACGAGUGGCGAACGGGUGAGUAACACGUGGGUGAUCUGCCCUGCACUUCGGGAUAAGCCUGGGAAACUGGGUCUAAUACCGGAUAGGACCCUGGGAUGCAUGUCCUGGGGUGGAAAGCUUUUGCGGUGUGGGAUGGGCCCGCGGCCUAUCAGCUUGUUGGUGGGGUGAUGGCCUACCAAGGCGACGACGGGUAGCCGGCCUGAGAGGGUGACCGGCCACACUGGGACGGAGAUACGGCCCAGACUCCUACGGGAGGCAGCAGUGGGGAAUAUUGCGCAAUGGGCGCAAGCCUGAUGCAGCGAUGCCGCGUGAGGGAUGACGGCCUUCGGGUUGUAAACCUCUUUCAGCACCGACGAAGCGCAAGUGACGGUAGGUGCAGAAGAAGGACCGGCCAACUACGUGCCAGCAGCCGCGGUAA
rnacentral:rRNA from 1 species